rnacentral:rRNA from 1 species
UACGAAGGGGGCUAGCGUUGCUCGGAAUCACUGGGCGUAAAGGGUGCGUAGGCGGGUCUUUAAGUCAGGGGUGAAAUCCUGGAGCUCAACUCCAGAACUGCCUUUGAUACUGAGGAUCUUGAGUUCGGGAGAGGUGAGUGGAACUGCGAAGUGUAGAGGUGAAAUUCGUAGAUAUUCGCAAGAACACCAGUGGCGAAGGCGGCUUACUGGUCCGGUUCUGACGCUGAGGCGCGAAAGCGUGGGGAGCAAACAGG